GCGAACGCUGGCGGCAGGCCUAACACAUGCAAGUCGAGCGGCCGUAGCAAUACGGCAGCGGCAGACGGGAUAGUAACACGUGGGAACGCGCCCUUCGGUUCGGAAUAACUCAGGGAAACUUGAGCUAAUACCGGAUACGCCCUUACGGGGAAAGAUUUAUUGCCGAAGGAACGGCCCGCGUCGGAUUAGCUAGUUGGUGAGGUAAUGGCUCACCAAGGCGACGAUCAGUAGCUGGUCUGAGAGGAUGAUCAGCCACACUGGGACUGAGACACGGCCCAGACUCCUACGGGAGGCAGCAGUGGGGAAUAUUGGACAAUGGGCGCAAGCCUGAUCCAGCCAUGCCGCGUGAGUGAUGAAGGCCUUAGGGUUGUAAAGCUCUUUUGUCCGGGACGAUAAUGACGGUACCGGAAGAAUAAGCCCCGGCUAACUUCGU
rnacentral:rRNA from 1 species